rnacentral:misc_RNA from 1 species
GAUGAAGAACGUAGCGAAAUGCGAUAAGUAGUGUGAAUUGCAGAAUUCAGUGAAUCAUCGAAUCUUUGAACGCACAUUGCGCCUUCUAGUAUUCUGGGAGGCAUGCCUGUUUGAGCGUCAUUAAACCUCUCUCAAGUAUGAUUACUUGGAUGUGAAGGAAGAGUACCUUAAACUUAAGGAGUGUUCUCCUUUGAAAUUGAUUAGCAGAUGGUAAUGUUAUUAAAUCCCUGAUGUUGUAAGAAAUAACAGUGGUUUUGUAGACUAUUAUCUAGCUUUAAAUUAUAAUUUUUAUUAUGGUUGACCUCAAAUCAGGAAAGGAUACCCGCUGAACUUAAGCAUAUCAAUAAGCGGAGGA